rnacentral:rRNA from 1 species
AACGAACGCUGGCGGCAUGCCUAACACAUGCAAGUCGAACGAGACCUUCGGGUCUAGUGGCGCACGGGUGCGUAACGCGUGGGAAUCUGCCCUUGGGUUCGGAAUAACAGUUAGAAAUGACUGCUAAUACCGGAUGAUGUCUUCGGACCAAAGAUUUAUCGCCCAAGGAUGAGCCCGCGUAAGAUUAGCUUGUUGGUGAGGUAAAAGCUCACCAAGGCGACGAUCUUUAGCUGGUCUGAGAGGAUGAUCAGCCACACUGGGACUGAGACACGGCCCAGACUCCUACGGGAGGCAGCAGUGGGGAAUAUUGGACAAUGGGCGAAAGCCUGAUCCAGCAAUGCCGCGUGAGUGAUGAAGGCCUUAGGGUUGUAAAGCUCUUUUACCCGGGAUGAUAAUGACAGUACCGGGAGAAUAAGCCCCGGCUAACUCCGUGCCAGCCGCCGCGGUAACAC